GGAGGGUACAGCUCAGUGGUAGAGCACAUGCUCAGCAUGCACGAGGUCCUGGGUUCAAUCCCCAGUCCCUCCA
rnacentral:tRNA from 1 species